rnacentral:lncRNA from 1 species
AUAGUAGGUGCUCAAUAUGUGCUUGUUGAAUAAAUGUGUCAAUGUUUGAUGUACAGACCUUUUAUUAUGUUUGAUUUGCUGCCAGUGCUGCCUCCAAACACAGGAGUGCUUCAUGAGAUGUUCACAAAAGCUCUUAAAAUAUUCCACAAAAAUCUUAAAAUAUUUCAUGAGUUUUCUUUCCUGUAUUUUUAUAGCAGCAUCUGGAAUUUAGCCUGCAUAGGACCCUCUGUAAGCUGACCCUGUUUAUCUAUUCAGCUUUACUUCUCCCCUCUCUCCACUUUGUAUUUUAUUCUCUACUACUUCCAACUGAUUGUAAUUUGACCAGACUCCAGACUAUCUUAUGCCUCUUUGCUUUUGUUUACCUGUUACUUCUCUCUGGAAUUCCCUGCCCCUUCUUAAUUUUUCUGGCCAAUUCUCACUCUCUAGGACUCAGAGGUUUCUCCUCAGGAGACUUCCAUGAGUCUCAUGUUGAGUUAGGUGACCCCAAUCCUCUGUUCUUCAUAGUCAUUCGCGCAUUUAUCUAGCUCAGCAUUUGCCAUACUACAUUGAAAUUAUUUCCUUAUGUGCCCAUCACUCCCCGUAGAUUGCAAACUCCUAGAGAAGGGCUCAACAGUGAGUGCUGAGGCUGCACAGAGGAGGAAGGCAGCACAAUGAUGGAAGGCUUCCUAAAGAGAUAACACUAACAAAGUUGACCUUAGAAUUGGAGUGCCUGGGUUAGAACCCUGCUGGUACCACCUGCUUACUGCAUGCUUCUGAUGUGAGUUCAGGAGAAGACACUGGCAAGGACAGCAAAGAACAGGAGAACACUCUAGCUUCCCUGAUAGCAUUCAAGGUGCUGUCCAAAAGUUUCACUCUUAUUGCCCAGGCUGGAGUGGAAUGGCGCAAUCUUGGCUCACUGCAACCUCCGUCUUUCGGGUUCAAGCAAUUCUUCUGCCUCAGCCUCCCCAGUAGCUGGGACUACAGGCAUGCACCACCAUGCCUGGCUAAUUUUGUAUUUUUAGGAGAGACGGGGUUUCACCAUGUUGGUCAGGCUGGUCUUGAACUCCUGACCUCAGUUGAUCCACCGUCUUCAGC